rnacentral:rRNA from 1 species
CAUUGUCGAAUGCCGCACAACAGAACGACCCGCGAACCGUUUAAAAUCUCAACCCUCCGAGCGGGCGCCGUCGCCGUCCAUCGGCCGGCGUCUCGGUCGCUAACAACAAAAUCCCGGCGCGGUCCGCGCCAAGGAAUUCGAAACGGAAACUCCGCGCCCGAGACGGUCGCACUUCUCGGCGUCGGUUUUCAAAAGAAGUCUUUAACGACUCUCGGCAACGGAUAUCUCGGCUCUCGCAUCGAUGAAGAACGUAGCGAAAUGCGAUACUUGGUGUGAAUUGCAGAAUCCCGUGAACCAUCGAGUUUUUGAACGCAAGUUGCGCCCGAGGCCACCUGGUCGAGGGCACGUCUGCCUGGGCGUCACGCUAACGCCGCCCCCAUCCCCCCUCUUCGGACCGCGGAUGGGAGCGAAAGUUGGCCCCCCGCGGCGUGCAGCCCGCGGUCGGCUGAAACAGAUUUUGCCCCGACGUCGCUCGACGACGCGAUCAAUGGUGGUAGACAGCACGGUUGCGCCGCGAUUGGACGACGCGAUCGGAGAGCGCGCGGGCAGUUGAACCCCGGCGAGCGAGAGCUCGCACACGCGACCCCAGG